GGUUCCUCGCAGCUUACUGGGCCAGCAUCGGUUUGGAUGGUAGGAUAAUGACUAAGGAAUGUGGCUCUACUUCGGUGGAGUGUUAUAGCCUUGGUUGAUACUGCCUGUCUAGACCGAGGACUGCGUCUUUGACUAGGAUGCUGGCAUAAUGAUCUUAAGCCACCCGUCUUGUAACACGGACCAAGGA
rnacentral:rRNA from 1 species